UACGAGGGGUGCAAGCGUUAUUCGGAAUUAUUGGGCGUAAAGGGUGUGUAGGUGGUAUAUUAAGUCAACUGUUAAAUGUCUCGGCCUAACCGAGAAACAGCAGUAGAUACUGGUAUACUUGAGGAUGGAAGAGAGAAGUGGAAUUCUUGGAGUAGCGGUAAAAUGCGUAGAUCUCAAGAGGAACACCGAUGGCGAAAGCAGCUUCUUGGUCCAUUCCUGACACUAAGACACGAAAGCGUGGGUAGCAAACAGG
rnacentral:misc_RNA from 1 species